CUCGUUUCCUCUCGCCUCCUCAUCUUUGCUAUGUGUGAGAGCAGCGGCGAGAUCGGCGGGAGUGGGGAUGUUCUCUGGUUCACGAUCGAUGGUCGCAGAUGGCGGAAGCUAGGGUGGAUAUUGCACACCAUAUGUUUCCAAUGGGGAGAGAACCCUGGCAAGUGGAAUUCUACCUGAAAACUCUAACCAUACAACUAGACGUAUGCUCCUUGUAAGUACCUUAGACUGCCCAAUCUGUCUCAUUUUUAUUUGUCCUUCAGGUAUAGCAUUUACCAUGCUAGUGCUUGCUCUUUUCUCAUUGCUAAAUUUUGAUCUUUUAAAAAGUAUUCUCAGUUUACUUCCUUACAUUACAAGUCCUACUUCCAAGAAUGGUUCUAUUUUUGCAUUAUAUCUAGUGUAUUUCUAGGGCCAAUUGGCUAUUUGUUUUAGUAUUAGGCAGGGUUUUUAAUACCAUUCCGUACCAUCCGAUAUAUGUAGUACGUGCUGGUCUGCCAGUUGAUCGGCACAUGGAUUGCUCGCUAUCGGGCAGUAUCAAGUAUUUGGUUGCAGCGAGGAAGAAGAGGGCGUUCGAAGAAGAGUGAGAAGCAUCGAUAAAGAGGACUGCAGAGUCAUCGAUGCGCCAUUACUAGCGUCUUGAUGAACUUGAGCCCGUCGAACUUUGAUGCUAACUUAUCUUCUGCACCCUUUCUCGAUCUUGAUCCGAUGUCGCCAUCCCUCGAUGAUCUCGAUCCAAGAUGUAAUGGCGAGUCGUACCUCUUUAGAAGAGGAGUUGGAGGUGUUGGGAUCGGGGGAAGCGACGGUGGAAGUAGCGAAAGAGACGACGAAGACCCCGACCUUCAUCACUGAACGGUCUCCUUCGUCCAUUGUCAUCGCACGGAGAACCUUUUGAUGUCAUAUUUCUUCUCCCCACCUCCUUGACGUCGAAGGCCGUAGUCAAGGUGAUGAAGAGAAGAAGGAUGAGGCGAUGACGACGAGGCUAAAAUUGAUUUUUAUAUUUUUUCUAGGUAUAUCACUUGGUACCUCAUAUCUUAUCGUAUCAAGCAAGGCAAUAAUAUGAAAUUAAAAACCUUGAUAUUAGUGAUAUUAAUUAUCUCCAGUUUUUGCUUUUAAAUUCGUAUGCAAGUUUAGUUUCCUACACCAAACGUCCAAAAAAUCAAGGCAGCCGGGUAGGAUGAUAUGCAAUUUUUGCAUGAUAAAUUGUCCCACUCAUGGAAGCAUCCAAUGCUCCAUGUACAACACGAUAUGCUGCUUCUCGCUGAGCACGUGUCCAAUGGUAAGACAAUGUGACCGGGGUAUAAACGAACCAAGUGCCGGUGGAGACUAGUUUUUGUGGUCUGCUCAGGUGUGGGAGGAACUGGAUUACCUGUUGUUGGAUUAUAUGCUUGUGUCUAACUCGAACUACUCCAGAUUCGCAUCUCCUUGAGCUCUCAGAUGGGGGUGUUUGGGGAGCAACUUGGAGGUCUCGGAACAUAUAAAUUUAACUAGGAUGAGGCGGAGAAGAUUAUAACAGCACAUCGAUAUCGAGUAUGGUGACGCUGGGGAUAAUGGGCAAUAGUGGAGGAGAUAAAAGAGUAGAACUUCCAAGAAGAAAGAUUUUGAGAGAUGGGGUCUCUGGUUAUGAUUUGAAUGCCAAUCCUAUUUAUAUGAGGAUUUGACUAACUAAUACUUGAGUUUUUAGUAAAUGUUCUAAUUUUCCCAGAAAUAUUGUUUGAUAUAGAGUUUUAGUAGCGAAUAAAAAAAUGCUUGUAACCUAUCCCAACCUUAUGUAGUCUAAACAUUUGUUGUAGCAAUCGUACCAAAAGUCAAAUUGUUUCAGCGCAUCCAAAGGUCACCAGAUGUAGUGUUCACGUUAAAUCGUACCGACGACCCCUUGGUGUUUGGGUGGUUAGCCAUUCUAAUCCAGUUGGAUUGUUUGAGUUCAGCUUGUCCGCUUUCGGAACACGAAACAGGUGAUAUCUGUGAUUACACCUACUCGUUACUCGAUCGAGAUCACUUUUCAAUUAAAUAUACAAAUCCUUAUCAUGCCAACAGUAACGAGCCGUCUUGACGACAUGUUGGAGCUUUUCUGAGAAUCAACUUUAACGCUCACAGUCUCGGAGUGUUGGGCUGUGUCGGCCACGUUUACUUUGGUAUUGUUGCCCGGAACAAAUUACAAUGAUGGCGCAAAAACCCAAGCUAUCCUGGUGAUGGUCCAAACCACUUAUCGACCUGUUUACAAACAACUGGUCUUUGCACCUCAUCAAUCCCACGUUUCGUUCGGCCUCCUGUUGAUAAAAAAGCGUGGGUAUCGCCCCUCAUCCACCCUACGUUUUCUUUUUUUCUUAAGCCUUCACGGUGAUUUCCACUAGCAAAAUAUUGGUAGUUGUCAGAUGCCAACAUGUCAGCCUCUUUGAUCGGCGGCCAUGUCCCCACAAAUCGGUAGAUUUUCCUGUAGGAUGGUCCUUGGCGGCCAACAAUGCUUCACUCGGUAACAAGGUGAGUUGUAUUUUUAUCUUUACCUUCUUCAACUCCCUUCCAUCUUUAUAUAUCAAUGGAACUGGGAUGAUGUGACCGCAUGUCCAUUUCCUAGUGUGAUUUAAUCGGUGCCUAAUGCGCUAAUUCCGAGGUCGAGUGCUUGUCCUCGAGUAUAGCCUCCAUUCCGGAGAGCAGCUUUAUCUUCCAAUCGAUGAAGGUAGAAUAAUUCUAGUGAUACGUAACGAAGGCGCAAAAAAAUGCUUGACCGAGGCUGAAGGAUUUUUUUUUUGGAGGGACGAGGGCACCUCGCCGCGGGUUGAUUCUUUCUUUCUCGUUGGAUGUUGCUGUUAACAUCAUCCCUUUCGUCACAGGUCCUCCAUGGCUUUCGAGCCACAUUGAAGAAUCACAUACUUUUAAUCCUUUUCUCUGCUCCUGUGUCAUGGAACCACUGUCCUUAUAUCGUCCUCACACCUGUCCUAACUUACAGUGGCAGUUGCGGAGGUUGCGGGUUUUUUCUGACUUUGUCAAUCAAAAGCUGCCACACUGGCUCAGAAUCCCCUAUUUCUAGGCGAAUUGUGAGCUCCGUUUCACACUUAGGUCGCAUGGGGCCCAUCUCACUUCGGCCCAUGAAGCUAUCGUAAGGGGUAGGCGUGUUCAUCGGUGAGCCAUUUAUCUGUUGUACGACAGCCCCUCUCUGCGGCGGGAGAUGCUUUCACAUUGGAAAAUGAAAACUAGCUAUUGCAAUCGGGGUGACAUUGAACCGUUCACGUUUCUUGUGUUGGUAUCUAUCGUAGAUAACUGUGUCAGGAAGAUGCGGGGCGAAAAGGCUUAUGCUGUUCGACUGUGUUUGCAUGGCUAAGAUGGUUGCAGAAGCUAAAAUGAACGACACGUUCAAAUUCGUUUGCUUGGUCGUGUGACAGAUGGAUCUGCACAUGUUCAGCUUAUUGAUCUGCGCAUUCAUACUCUCCUGGGAAAUGACAGUUGAAUACUCAUGGACGGGAGGAGGUGUUACCAUUGCGAUCGGGUUGCUUCUUGAAGCAAGAAGACGUUGCCCCUCCUAGCAAACGAAGGGUCAUUUUACUUUAUCCUUUUUCUUUCUUUUGCCUUUUAUCAGGUUAUGAAACUCGAGUAAGAGAUGCGUUCUCUUAACAGAGGGACC